UACGUAGGGUGCAAGCGUUGUCCGGAAUUAUUGGGCGUAAAGAGCUCGUAGGCGGUUUGUCGCGUCGGCUGUGAAAACCUAGGGCUCAACUCUGGGCUUGCAGCCGAUACGGGCAAACUAGAAUUCGGUAGGGGAGACUGGAAUUCCUGGUGUAGCGGUGAAAUGCGUAGAUAUCGUUUGGAACGCCAAUGGUGAAAACAACUUGCUGGGGGUGUGCUGACGCUGAGACACGAAAGCCAGGGGAGCAAACGGG
rnacentral:rRNA from 1 species